GGACUACAGGGGUAUCUAAUCCUGUUCGCUCCCCAUGCUUUCGCUCCUCAGCGUCAGUUAAUGCCCAGAGACCUGCCUUCGCCAUCGGUGUUCCUCCUGAUAUCUGCGCAUUUCACCGCUACACCAGGAAUUCCAGUCUCCCCUACAUCACUCUAGUCUGCCCGUACCCACUGCAGAACCGGAGUUGAGCCCCGGUCUUUCACAGCAGACGCGACAAACCGCCUACGAGCUCUUUACGCCCAAUAAUUCCGGAUAACGCUUGCGCCCUACGUAUUACCGCGGCUGCUGGCAC
rnacentral:rRNA from 1 species